UUUCCUGUUUCUGGGAUUCAGGAUUCAGGAUUGUGGAUUAGUACUAAAUUUCAGAAUAUGAAGCAUCAAGAUUUGACCUUUUCCCUAACACUAAAAGUUUCUGAGGAAGACUCUCAGAAGCAUAUGGAACUAUGACAGCUAUGCCUGAAACAAUAAAAGGAAGUGGGGUGAAUCUUUUGAUCAACACUUGUCAACCACCAUAAUGAAUAAUGCUGAAAACUAGAAGCUCUUUGACCAUGCUGUUGGAAUGAAAGAAGAUUAUCUUAAACAACAAUGUUCACCCCAGUAACACUAAAGUACUCUGAUAUGAGGACAGACUUGAGAAAGCAGCCUCAUCAGUAAUCAGACUGACUGACAAGAAGCAGACUUGAUAUGUG